AAUGGGUCAGCGACUUAUAUUCUGUAGCAAGGUUAACCGAAUAGGGGAGCCGAAGGGAAACCGAGUCUUAACUGGGCGUUAAGUUGCAGGGUAUAGACCCGAAACCCGGUGAUCUAGCCAUGGGCAGGUUGAAGGUUGGGUAACACUAACUGGAGGACCGAACCGACUAAUGUUGAAAAAUUAGCGGAUGACUUGUGGCUGGGGGUGAAAGGCCAAUCAAACCGGGAGAUAGCUGGUUCUCCCCGAAAGCUAUUUAGGUAGCGCCUCGUGAAUUCAUCUCCGGGGGUAGAGCACUGUUUCGGCAAGGGGGUCAUCCCGACUUACCAACCCGAUGCAAACUGCGAAUACCGGAGAAUGUUAUCACGGGAGACACACGGCGGGUGCUAACGUCCGUCGUGAAGAGGGAAACAACCCAGACCGCCAGCUAAGGUCCCAAAGUCAUGGUUAAGUGGGAAACGAUGUGGGAAGGCCCAGACAGCCAGGAUGUUGGCUUAGAAGCAGCCAUCAUUUAAAGAAAGCGUAAUAGCUCACUGGUCGAGUCGGCCUGCGCGGAAGAUGUAACGGGGCUAAACCAUGCACCGAAGCUGCGGCAGCGACGCUUAUGCGUUGUUGGGUAGGGGAGCGUUCUGUAA
rnacentral:rRNA from 1 species